rnacentral:rRNA from 1 species
UACGAGGGGGGCAAGCGUUGUUCGGAAUUACUGGGCGUAAAGGGCGCGUAGGCGGCCUGUUAAGUCGGACGUGAAAUCCCCGGGCUCAACCCGGGAACUGCGUCCGAUACUGGCAGGCUUGAAUCCGGGAGAGGGAUGUGGAAUUCCAGGUGUAGCGGUGAAAUGCGUAGAUAUCUGGAGGAACACCGGUGGCGAAGGCGGCAUCCUGGACCGGCAUUGACGCUGAGGCGCGAAAGCCAGGGGAGCAAACGGG